AACAUGCUACAACUCCUCGCCAGCUUCCUGACAGGGCACUGCUGUCUCAGAAACCACCUUAUAAGAAUAGGGUUAACAAAACCUGACGAGUACAGAUUCUGUUGAAGAGGAGGAAGAAACUCCUGAUCACCAGGUCACAAAAUGCACUGCCCAUGCAAAAAAUGUUUAAGACGAAACAUUUGUAGGAAUUAGGAUAUACCUUCCUAAAAUCAAUCCGAGAUACCAGAGUUUGUUACAACUCUGGAAGUGGAAGGCAAUCUGAAGAUGGUGCAAUGGUUAGCACAGCUCUGAUGGGAGACACAAUAGAACUUCAAGACACUAUACAAGUGUUUGCGAGGAGAACAUUGGUCCCAUUUCCCUCCCCGCAGCGGACGCCACUGAUUGGAACCUGUGUGUCGCUUCCCAUCGACCGCUUACUGGCCUAGAAACUGUACACCCUCGACUGGAACACUUGUUCCAAAGGCAGGUGAUUAAUGAACAUCUCCCCCGACGCUCUCCUCUUGUCUUGAAUUCAUCACUUCAUUUCUUUCGGGCAGGCCAAUAAAAUUAAAUUGUU